rnacentral:tRNA from 1 species
AUUAUUUUGGCAGAAUAGUGCAUUAAAUUUAGAAUUUAAUUAUAUAAUAAAAUUAUAAAUAAUA